UCCUGGGUAUCCUGGUAUGUCAGGGGGUCAAGCUACUGCCUAGAUGGGUCGUGGGUUCGAAUCCCGCCUUCGGAA